rnacentral:lncRNA from 1 species
AAAACAGCAAAUGUUUUCCCACAGUAUCUCUUAAAACAGGUGUCUGCGUUGUGUCGUGUCCCCCCCCCGCCCUUUUAUCUUUCAGGAAGAGGUCCACCAACGAAGACUCAAAGUUGCUUUGGGGCUGUGUCCUCGGGAACAUCUGUCUUCCUCUUCGCUAAAGAGAGAGUACCGACCAAGGGCUCAAACUAUCAUGUCCCAGGAGGACAACUCCAGAAUGGCCUACAAAAUACUGGUGAGUGUUCUCUGACUGGGGGGAGGAGAGCAGUGCCUCAGUGGUCAUCUGUGGCGAACAGAGUGAAGGAGAAAAGUGGGAUGUGUGGCACUUCUUUUGCUGUGUCUUUCCAGCCUGUUUUAAAUGGGGAGCAGACUGUUACUGCACGUGUCCCCAGAAAAAGGAGUGUCCCUUUGAAAGAAGCAGAGGAAUGUGGUGCAAGUUUGUGCACUGUGCUGCCUACUCAGCCAGUUCAAAGAAGGGGGAAGGGGAUUACUGUGGUACUGAGAGCGCUCUCUCUGCUGUGCCUGACAUGCCUGCUGCAAAUAAGCAGUUGUAGAGCCCUUCUGCAGGUGGUGUGCCUGAAGUGCACUGUGGAUUAACACUUGGUUAGAAAUGAGGUGUUUGUGGCUGUCCUGAUGAUAGUUAGUGGAAAAGGACCUUGUCUGUGUAAUGGUGACUUACUCCCUUCUUAGUGUCUGAAGACCACACUAUGUGAGGAAGUAAGCAGUGUCCAUCUCACCCCAGGAUGAGCCCAGCAACUUCCUCUUCCCCCUGCUUUAAGUGACUGUUAUGCAGUGACUUUGCCAACCCUUGAGUCACUCGCUCAGACUGGGAUAUCACUGGAGUGUCACUAGAAAUUUUUUGGAGUUGAGUGGGGAGCAGAAGGGAAAGGCCCACCAGACUUCUGAUUGGCCUCUGUCACUUCCAUAUAUGCAGAUAUCCAUUAGAAAUGGUACUGUUCACUUUUGGGCAUAUAGCCAGCACCUUGCACA